CUGACCAUAUUUUGGUUGUCAUCAGUUUUGCUCCGGUGGGCGACGGUGCGCCAUGUUAUUUUUUAUUGUUUCUUUCAAAGAUGCAUUCGGACAAGUAAUCAGGAAACCGAGAAACAGUCACGGUUAUACGGUUUCCUCAGGAAAUAGGAAACCAGAAUUCAGUUGAAUCGGCAUGAAAAAACUGCCGACAACAACCAACAUGACCAUGGACAGUGAGCAGCGGAAAUGACGAGGAAAAUGCCUAUAUGUUGUGCACGCGCAAUUGGAAGGAGCGCUCCUUGCUGUCGGAUAGCAAACAGAAGAAAAAGCUCACUCCUAAGCAGUUAGCCUAGUGGAAAAAAGGCGAACCAAGACUCGUUUUUAAACUUAAGGAAAUGAAUGAGAAGAAGAAAAAGAAGCCAGAGGAAAAGGAAAGGAAGCAUCGUGAAAAGGAAAAACAGGAACUGUUGGUGGAGAAAGUGAAAAAGAGAGCAGAAGAGCAGAAGCACAAGGAACGGGAGGAGAAAGGAGAGCAGAAACGCAAAUAAAAAAAGAGAAGGAUGAACAGAAACGAAACAAAAACGAAGAGAAGGAGCGGUAAAAACUAGCGGAAGUGGAAGUGAAAACUGAAGAGAAGCAUAAGAAUGAGGAACAAAAGGAGAGAGCAUUCGAAGAAGGAAGAGGAAGUUGAAGCAGAAGUGAAGCGCAAACAGAAGGCUGUUCAGGCCUUUAAGAGUUUCUUCGUGAAGAAAACAAUGCCAAAAGAUGUAAAACAAUCGGGUGAUGAGAAAUCGAUGGAUCGUCAAUCUGUGGGAGAUGAGAGCUAUGUGGUUUCUCGAUUGGGAUGCACGCCCUUCUGUGUGAAGGACGAUAUGGGAUUGGCUCCAGUGUGCAGAGUAUUCUUACAGGGAAUGGAACGCAUGAAACGUUUGGAAGAAGUGUUGGUUGAAGCCGGUGCAGGAGAGAAUGAACGGGAUGGAUUGUACAUGCAGCAGUUAAAAACAAAGACUACGUGGUUGGCAAAUGCUGGAUGACGAAGGAGAGGAUGGCCAUGUAUUGAUUAUAGACACCUAUGUCAUCAGAUCAAAGCGGCAGCUUCUCCAACCCACCGCUAUCGUGCCAAAUACUUCCUAUUUAAAGAAAAUCGCCGACCGCUGUAUCGGAGAACGUAGCGGAAGCAAAGCACUCAGACCAAACCAUGACGUCCCUUCGUUCAGCACACUAAAUUCUUUGAUUACGAAGUCGACUCGGAUGGCAAGUGGUAAAAGGAGAAUCGGGGUGAAUCGCAACACGGCAGUGACGAAGUGAUACGACGUACCGCAUGGUCACUUGAUUGACGAUGAGAUGAAAGCAGAGGCUGACGUCAUUGUGGACAAUUGCCCGAAAACCUAGAAGGUCAAGCUGAAAAUGAUGCACCACGAAUUGUUUUUAGUCUGCAAUCGAUUCCUAGCUCCGCACUGAUAUCAAAAACAUCUGCCGCUCAUGCCUCCAACAUCACCAAGGCUACGCGAGAUGACAAACGGAAAUCUGCCAACGUAUCGCCCUACAAUGCACGCUGAAAGUCUCCCACUGCCGCCCCCUCACCGUGUUCAACCGCUGAUGUCAGUACCACUGGGUCGAACAUAAACCAGACCACCAAGAGCAUUCUAAUCAGCUAGCUUCAGGCCAAAGAUGGCACCUCUAACAACGCCACAAGCAACGAUAAGAGCAAUUUGAACGUGGUGGAAUCGAUGGCGGUUCACUCUGCGCUGGACAACCGAUCGAUUUUUUUUUUAUUGAUCAAAGUGUAUCAGACCAGUUUAGUACUAAAGUGUAAUAGGUAUGUAUGAACAUAAACAUAUUUAUGUAUAGAUAGCUAUCCUAAUUGCUCUAUGGAAUUGAACUGACUUAUUUCUUUAUAAUUUGCAAUUUCUAUUCAGCAUUCCAAAGGGAUCCCAUAGCAAAUUAUUCCGGAAUUCCGCAGGAAAUCCUUUCGAGAUCCCUCGGGGAAUCCUUUCGGGAUCCCUCAGGGAUUCCUGCCUGCAUCCAUGCAGGAAAUCCUUUAGGGAUCCCGCAGGCAAUCCUUCUGGGAUCCCGCAGGCAAUCCUUCUGGGAUUCAGCAGAGAAUCAGUCUGGGAUUCAGCAGAGAAUCCGUCUGGGAUUCCGCAGGGAACCUCACUGAAAUUCUGCAAGAAAUCAUUUUGGGAUUCAGCAGGAAGUACCUCCGGUGUUCUCCAGGGAAUUCUUCCGGGAUUCUGCAGGGAGUUCUUCCUAGUUUCUGUAGGGAUUGCGGUGUCAACAUUUCUAGGCUGUAAGCAGUUACUGCUCAGGACACCCUUUUCACAGAAUCGUGCCACUUGCCAAUAUGCAACUGGAGAUCGACCCGCUGGUGUGCAGUGACGGUUAAUCUGCAUCGUACUUAUGGUCAUCGAUAUUCGUCAUAAGGAAUAUAUUUAAUUAAAUACACUACCGUUUAAGUGCGAAUCAUCAUUCUACUGAAAAAUUAAAAGAAUAAUAA